rnacentral:lncRNA from 1 species
GCUUUCUUUUGAUUAGUGUGAACAUGGUAUAUCUUUUCCUGUACUUUCUCAGAGUAGUCUGUUCUCAGGCCAAGCUUGCUUCCUACUCUGCCAUAAGGUGAGCCACCUCUACCUGCCUGGAGAUCAACCUGCGGUCAUCCAGUUCCACCAGUGCCUGGCUGGAGCUAUAAGUUGGUGCUGUUUGCCAGGGUUGAUGUCUGCAGAGGGCCAGGGGAAUUCCAAGCAAGGGAAGCAAGGAGAGCUUCUUGGACUCCUCAAGUUCUACCAGGAGGCAGUGCUAUGGUGUGCCCAACCCUCCCAGAGGCCUAAGUGACCACCCUCCUGGGAAUGCCCAAAGCAUCUGCUAUUUAGGACUUGGUUACAGAGCGCCAUCAGCUUCCCCAAGCAGUCUGUGGGAAAGACAGCUUGUCACAAUGCCAGUCUCUGCAUUUCUCCAUCCUGCCCACCAGAGUAUCCUGAAAGACUUGGCAAAUAUCUUGCUGAACAUCAGAUACACCAUGUCUCCUGAUCGAGCAGACUAAUACCCUUAUUAAAAAGAAAAUGUGGUUGGCCUUUGUCUGGCCUGACUUGGCCGGGUGCUGGCCACCUAGGACCGAUGUUUGAUUUCCUGUGCCACCCGACAGACCUUGAGAUAGUCCUUGCUCUCUGCACUAGAGAAGCAGCCAGUGAAAAGGAAGAUGGGCAUCCUA